AACGAACGCUGGCGGCAUGCCUAACACAUGCAAGUCGAACGAGACCUUCGGGUCUAGUGGCGCACGGGUGCGUAACGCGUGGGAAUCUGCCCUUCGGUUGGGAAUAACUGAGAGAAAUUUCAGCUAAUACCUUAUAAUGUCUUCGGACCAAAGAUUUAUCGCCGAGGGAUGAGCCCGCGUAGGAUUAGGUAGUUGGUGGGGUAAUGGCCUACCAAGCCGACGAUCCUUAGCUGGUCUGAGAGGAUGAUCAGCCACACUGGGACUGAGACACGGCCCAGACUCCUACGGGAGGCAGCAGUGGGGAAUAUUGGACAAUGGGCGAAAGCCUGAUCCAGCAAUGCCGCGUGAGUGAUGAAGGCCUUAGGGUUGUAAAGCUCUUUUACCCGGGAUGAUAAUGACAGUACCGGGAGAAUAAGCCCCGGCUAACUCCGUG
rnacentral:rRNA from 1 species